rnacentral:rRNA from 1 species
AGAGUUUGAUCAUGGCUCASAGUGAGCGCUAGCGGUGCGCCYAACMCMUGCAAGUCGAGCGCCCCCSCMAGGGGGAGCGGCGGACGACUGCGUAACMCGUUGGAACCUUCCCCGGACUCMGGGAUACCCCCSCGAAAGCGGGGCUAAUACCGGAUGCCCUCGCMAGAGGAAAGAUUUUUCGGUCCGGGAGGGGCCUGCGGCCUAUCAGCUUGUUGGUGAGGUAACGGCUCACCAAGGCGACGACSGGUAGCUGGUCUGAGAGGACGACCAGCCSGGAUGGGACUGAGACACSGCCCAUACUCCUACGGGAGGCAGCAGUGAGGAAUCUUCCGCAAUGGGCGAAAGCCUGACGGAGCGACACCGCGUGGAGGAUGAAGUUGUUCUUCAACGUAAACUCCUGUUCUGAGGGAACAAAUUU